GUUUCUGUCGCUGCUAGAGAUGAGAUAGGAAAGAGGAGGGCUAAGAGCUCCGAAUUCAAGAAAUAGGAUGUUGGAGUUUAACCCCCACCCCUCCACGCUGAGGGGUUGUUCAAACCUCACUCUCACCCCUCUCACUCAUUUUCCACCCAGAACAGAGGUGGCGGGUUGCUGGGUGCCUCACUCACCGGGUGUCAGUGCCUCGGGUAUUGGUGAAGAAUGCUGGAAGGAGAAAAGCUCAGGGCUCACGUUGCAUCCAGCCAUGAACAAGACCUCAUUGGACUGGACAUCGCCUGGGUACAAGUGGAACCAGAGUUCAGCUAAGAAACAGCUCGGUUCUCCCAAAUCCACACCCCCUUCCCUGAGCCCAGAUGGGAGCAGGGCCUUUGGAGGAACUAUUCGUGAUCUCAGUCUGUUCUCAGUCAGAUGCUCCACGGGGAGGGAGGGGACUUGAGGGACGCUUCCACCCGCAAGGCCCUCCCCAGCCCAGGCGGACAGCUGACCUGGACGACAGGUUGGGCUGUUGGCUACUUGGCAGGAAAGGGGCCGGGGAGGCCUAAGAAACCCCAGGUAUGGGCUGGGGGAGGGAAUGGAGUAGGGGAGGAAGGACGGAAGGAGGGGAGCUCUCCUGUGCUGGGAGCGUCCGCAGCUGCGGGGUUGCCAGGAGAUUAGCAGUUCUAGAACCAAGGGGGGGCGGGGGGGCGUAAAGGGAGCGUUUCCUCAAUGUGCCUGCCUCAUCUGCUCCUCAGGCCACUCAUCCACCUGCUUCCAGGUUUUCACUUGGGGCACAAUCAAUCGGGCGCUGGCCCAAUCCUCCGGCCACUAGGGGGCGCGCGCGAGGCAGCCUCGCCCGAGGCCGAGCUGCAGCCACUCUAGCCCGUCCCACGCCGCCGGAGCCAGCGAGA